rnacentral:rRNA from 1 species
UCCUCCAAGGCUAAAUACUCCUGACUGACCGAUAGUGAACCAGUACCGUGAGGGAAAGGCGAAAAGAACCCCGGCGAGGGGAGUGAAAAAGAACCUGAAACCGUGUACGUACAAGCAGUGGGAGCACCCUUCGGGGUGUGACUGCGUACCUUUUGUAUAAUGGGUCAGCGACUUAUAUUCUGUAGCAAGGUUAACCGAAUAGGGGAGCCGGAGGGAAACCGAGUCUUAAUUGGGCGUUAAGU